AUACGGAGGAUGCAAGCGUUAUCCGGAUUUAUUGGGUUUAAAGGGUGCGUAGGCGGAUGACUAAGCGUGAGGUGAAAUGCCACUGCUCAACAGUGGAACUGCCUCGCGAACUGGUUGUCUUGAACGCUCCUGCCGUGGGAGGAAUGUGUGGUGUAGCGGUGAAAUGCAUAGAGAUCACACAGAACACCGAUUGCGAAGGCAUCUCACGAAGGGGUGAUUGACGCUGAGGCACGAAAGCGUGGGGAUCAAACAGGAUUAGAUACCCUGGUAGUCCACGCAGUAAACGAUGAUAACUAACCGCUGGGUCGUAGUGAUUCAGUGGCCAAGCGAAAGCGAUAAGUUAUCCACCUGGGGAGUACGACCGCAAGGUUGAAACUCAAAUGAAUUGACGGGG
rnacentral:rRNA from 1 species